rnacentral:misc_RNA from 1 species
AAGGCUUUUGGGUUUGACUGUGUACUUUAGCUUUGUACGUAAGUUCAUUCGUGAUCGUUGAGGUUAAAAACCUAUGUACAUAUAAACCUAAAGUACUUGUACAAAGCCUCUGAGGAAAAAACUUAUAGAGUAUACUUAAAUUAUCUAUUAUAAUUCUUGUUAGUCUAAAUUCCAAAAAACUAUAAAAGGUAUUGAAGAUUUUGGUUCACUUUAUAGUUUAUACUAGGAACUUU